UUUGAACGCAUCAGAUCAAGCCUUCGAAUAAGAUGGAUGGAACUGUUAUGGCUUCCCUCUCUUGGACACAGUAGAUGGGCCCUUACAUCACGCAUUGCAGUGAAGCAAUCGCGAGUGUUUUCUCAGAGUCGACACCGGGGGCCUCUCUCACCACGGAGCCGUAUUUCUAAGGUCGUAACCCCUGUCAGGGCCCAGUGGAACAAACAGCUGCCGGUGUUUACAACUCGGCUUACAAGCAUAGCGAUAUUGAACUGAUGCCAUGCUGUUCAGCAGUAAUGUGAUGAAUGCAGCUCAUUUUGAUCCAUGGGCGGAACAUACAGCAAACAUCUCAUCAAAUAUAUCAACCAUGCAUACAAAUACAGAGAAAACACAUUA